rfam:Bradyrhizobium sp. LTSP885 NODE_40, whole genome shotgun sequence.
GUAACCGGCAGGCUUGGGAGAGCCGAGAGGUUACCGACGAUCCGGUGUCAAGGCUUGGGAGAGCUUAGCAAUCGGAUCACCUCACAGGGGAGAACCACCGAUGCAGAAUACGCUUCUGGUCGGACUAUCGAAGCAGAUGGUGCUGG